UACGGAGGGUGCAAGCGUUACUCCGGAUUCACUGGGUUUAAAGGGUGCGUAGGCGGGUUGGUAAGUCCGUGGUGAAAUCUCCGAGCUUAACUCGGAAACUGCCGUGGAUACUAUCAAUCUUGAAUAUCGUGGAGGUAAGCGGAAUAUGUCAUGUAGCGGUGAAAUGCUUAGAUAUGACAUAGAACACCAAUUGCGUAGGCAGCUUACUACACGAUCAUUGACGCUGAGGCACGAAAGCGUGGGGAGCAAACAGG
rnacentral:rRNA from 1 species